rnacentral:lncRNA from 1 species
GGGUGUUGGGGAAUACCGAUCGAUCCCGCUCAUGCCGACUUAUAAUCGGACAUGCACGACCGACCGAUCGACCGACCGAUCGACGGCUGUCGACCGACCGAGGAUAUGUCGGUCGGGCAGGCCCUUUCUGCCCUCCCGACCGACUGCACCGGGGGGUCCGAUGCCCGACUCCCGCGACGUGAUCGACUGACCGUCGGAGAGGUCCGAAUCUCUACCCGACGCCCCUC